rnacentral:rRNA from 1 species
CCCUACGGGACGCAGCAGUGGGGAAUAUUGCACAAUGGGGGAAACCCUGAUGCAGCGACGCCGCGUGAGUGAAGAAGUAUCUCGGUACGUAAAGCUCUAUCAGCAGGGAAGAAAAAAAGUCUUUGGCUUUGGACGGUACCUGACUAAGAAGCCCCGGCUAACUACGUGCCAGCAGCCGCGGUAAUACGUAGGGGGCAAGCGUUAUCCGGAUUUACUGGGUGUAAAGGGAGCGUAGACGGCAGCGCAAGUCUGGAGUGAAAUGCCGGGGCUCAACCCCGGAACUGCUCUGGAAACUGUGCAGCUAG